rnacentral:rRNA from 1 species
GGCGGACGGGUGAGUAACGCGUAAGAACUUGCCCUUUAGACUGGGAUAACAGAGGGAAACUUCUGAUAAUACUGGAUAAGUUAGUAUAUCGCAUGAUAUGCAAAUGAAAGCUACGGCACUAAAGGAGAGCUUUGCGUCCUAUUAGCUAGUUGGUAAGGUAAGAGCUUACCAAGGCGAUGAUAGGUAGCCGGCCUGAGAGGGUGGACGGCCACGAGGGGACUGAGAUACGGCCCUUACUCCUACGGGAGGCAGCAGUC